rnacentral:rRNA from 1 species
CCUACGGGAGGCAGCAGUAGGGAAUGUUGCACCAUGGGCGAAAGCCUGAUGCAGCAACGCCGCGUGAGUGAUGAAGGCCUUCGGGUCGUAAAACUCUUUUCAAGGGGAAGAGGAAGGACGGUACCCUUGGAAUAAGCAUCGGCUAACUACGUGCCAGCAGCCGCGGUAACACGUAGGAUGCAAGCGUUAUUCGGAUUUACUGGGCGUAAAGCGCGUGUAGGCGGUUAGGAGAGUUGGAUGUGAAAGCUCCCGGCUUAACUGGGAGAGGUCGUUCAAAACUUCCUGACUAGAGUUUGGUAGAGGAAAAUGGAAUUCCGGGUGUAGUGGUGAAAUGCGCAGAUAUCCGGAGGAACACCAGUGGCGAAAGCGAUUUUCUGGACCGAUACUGACGCUCAGACGCGAAAGCUAGGGUAGCAAACGGGAUUAGAGACCCCGGUAGUCCUAGCUGUAAACGAUGUAGACUUGGCGUUGGGAGAGUAAAAUCAUCCAGUGCCGAAGCAAACGCGAUAAGUCUACCGCCUGGGGAGUACGGCCGCAAGGUUAAAACUCAAAGGAAUUGACGGGGCCCCGCACAAGCAGCGGAGCGUGUGGUUUAAUUCGAUGCUACACGAAGAACCUUACCAGGGUUUGACAUAUAAGUGGUAGGGAAGGGAAACCGGACCGACCCUUCGGGGAGCUAUGAG